rnacentral:rRNA from 1 species
GACGAACGCUGGCGGCGCGCCUAACACAUGCAAGUCGAACGAGCGAGAGAGAGCUUGCUUUCUCGAGCGAGUGGCGAACGGGUGAGUAACGCGUGAGGAACCUGCCUCAAAGAGGGGGACAACAGUUGGAAACGACUGCUAAUACCGCAUAAGCCCACGGUGCCGCAUGGCACAGAGGGAAAAGGAGCAAUCCGCUUUGAGAUGGCCUCGCGUCCGAUUAGCUAGUUGGUGAGGUAAUGGUCCACCAAGGCGACGAUCGGUAGCCGGACUGAGAGGUUGAACGGCCACAUUGGGACUGAGACACGGCCCAGACUCCUACGGGAGGCAGCAGUGGGGAAUAUUGCACAAUGGGGGAAACCCUGAUGCAGCGACGCCGCGUGGAGGAAGAAGGUCUUCGGAUUGUAAACUCCUGUUGUUGGGGAAGAUAAUGACG